rnacentral:lncRNA from 1 species
UGUGGGGGUAAUUUUGACUCUCCAGUCUGGGUUGGAAAAAUUAUUCAAAUAAUACUAUAUAUUCUCAGUAUUUCACACUACCUCCCCUCCCCAUAUUUAUGUGGCACACAUUGGUCAGUAUUGGAAUCAGUCUUUCUAGGCUGGAUAGGCCCUUAGGGAGCUUGGCCUGAGGCUUCACAGAAGCCACACAGGGCUAAGGACAUUGUGAAGCAGCACUGUCCAAGAAUGCUCUGGGGCAGCAGAUGUUCUAUAUCUGCACUGUCUGGAUGGAUAGCUAUUAGCCGUGUUCGGCUGUGGAGCACUUGAAAUGCAGUUAGACUGAAGAAUUGUAUUUAUUUUUUAUGGUGCUAGGAAUUAAAUCCAGUCUUGUGCAUGCUAGGCAAGUGCUCUACCACUGAGCUACACCCUGAGUGCCUGGAUUUAUUUGUGUUCAGUUGUGUUAACUUACAUAGCCACAUGUGGCUAAUGGCUACUGUGUUGGAUAACAAAGGUCUGAAACCCACCAGUCGGGUGUGGAUUCCCACCUCCCUGGAUUCUUGGCAUGGAGCAUGGGCCUGUAGCCCAUAUCUGUUUGGGAUCCUCCCCUGCAACUUACUCAGGGCAUUAGAGGGGACUGCUGUGUUUGUUCUGUCAGGCUCUGCUGCUUCCUGUCAACAGAUGACAAAGCUGAUCAAACAUGCAGCUCAUCCACUUCUCCCCAGAUUCCCUUAAGUUUUAGCCACACUGGAGCAAAUUUAACAUCCAUCCAUGUUCAUUAAUAUCAACAGAGGAACUUAAAACUCUAUUUUUUUUUUUUUAAUUAAUAGACUGCCAGGAGUUGGUGGCUCCUGUCCCACUUUGUGUAUGUGUGAGGGGGCUGCUACUUGAGCUUUGGACUCUGUGAUUUGGGGGUAAGAUGAGGUGGAAUGGAGCUAGGCAUCCUCUGGGGUCUAGGCUCCCUGUUCUCUGAGCAGCUACUGUUACCCCUUAGGUACGCAGAGAUGCCCAAGGCCAAGAAGAACGCAAUCUCUCAUCGCUUCCGGGCCCUGCUGGAGAUGCAAAAGUAUUUUGGCAGCAUGACUCCUCCUGAGGCUGGAGGAGACCACUCAGGCCAGGGAUCUGGGGAGGGCUAGCCUAAACCUGCACCAUCAGGCAGGCACCCCUGGAAGUACUUCCUUCAGGGUUUCCCCUUGCUGGGGGUGUCAAGGCAAUCUCCCUAUCCUGGUCUGGAAGAGCAGCUAACUGCUUAGAGAAAUUCUGAGCAAGUUGAUGCCAGUCUCUUGCCCUUAGGCCAUCUGGGAUUCAGUGAUCUCUAGGCCUAGGAUCCUGAGAGGUCUUUAGGUGCUAAAACUGGCCUUGGCAGGAUUGAGGGUUUGGGAAAGAACCAAAGAGUCUUCAAUGUUCUUACAAUGUGGGAAAUAAAAAUUCUGGAAGGUACUUGUUUCCAAAAUAAACUAGAUACAUCUGCUUUGAACCCUGCCAGGCUGAUGUCUUCUGAGUCCCCUUGGGGGUGGUGAGACAAGGGCAUCGCUGUCAAGGAUGUUUGCCUACCCUUUGCUGGCUUGCAUGUUACAUCUUCUCUGCUUGUGUUCUUUCGAGUCAUGAAUUGUGAGCUGGCCAUUCCUUGCAGGAUGUGUGUUAUCUACUCACCUACCAGUCGAUGCCACUGCCAGCUGGCCUCUAUGGUCUUUGCUGGAUUGUGGGGUGGUCAGUGGGGAACGUUCAGGAUAUUUACUUUAUACUAUUGUACAUUUGAGCAGUUGAGAUGUUGGCUUGAUUGUAAUACCAAUUUAUUUUUCUGGUGGGGAAGGGAUGGAAUCUUUGACCCCAGCUGGGGUGAUAUGCCAUAUGCCAGUUUUGCCUGGGGUCUAGAGGUCCAUCAGGAGAACUGCCUCAGACCCUCACUGUGCCCUGGUGAAGCCAUUCCCAGGGAGGGACUUAGGGGGUGUCAGGUGGCUGCCUUGCAUUUCCUGCAGGCCUUUUUCUGAUAAGGAAGGGUAUACAACCCCAAGGAUGUUUAAAAAAAAAAAAAAAAAACGGGUCAGGGCAGAAAGCAGGUUGGGGUGGUACUCCUCAGUCCUAGUAGACCACUCCCAGGGUAAGUUUUGUGCUCCCAGGCAGCUCUGGAGAGUCUCUACUCCAGCAUAUGUUCUUCAGUCCUGGCAAGGUGGCCCAGGGCUGGGCUCAGCCGUUGAGAACAUUGUCUUCCCCUGACCUGGGGCAGUGCUUCGCUUCCCUCUUGCCUGCCAUACCUAGCUGGGUAGUUUACCCAGGAGGUACCAGCACCUCACCUAUCCUCCUGGGUGGUCUCAGAGUGGGAGGGUGAUGUCUGCCAGGGUCUUAAGUAUGUGAUGCUGGAGAUCUGCCUGUCCCUUGCCUGUGAUUCUGGAUAUGAUCCUACCUACAGGGAACACCCAGGCUACUGAGGAAGGGACCCCCAAAGUAGAAUCACACACCACAUGUGUAUAGUAGAUACAUGGAGUUUGGGGCAGGACACCCUGGUAUUUGCUGAUUGGCUUCUUCAGAGUUCUGUCCUGGGUGCACACUAUGCUUUGUUUGCUUUAUCUUUAGCUACCCAUCCCCAUAUAGGACUAUGGAGAAUAUACUUGUACCUAAGCCCAUCACCACCACUCUGGAGCAGAAUUAUACCAGACUCUAUGCCCUGCAUCCAACCCAAUUUGGCCUUUAACAACUCAUCAAAUGUAAAGUGGCAUCUCUGUUGGCUUGCAUUUCUUUGAUUACCAAGGGUUUUGUUUGUUUUGCAGUGCUGGGAACAGAACACAGGGCCUUGACUGUUCUAGGCAAGCACUCUGCCACUGAGCUAAACUCCCAGUCCUACCAAAGGGUUUGAACAUCUUUGCCAUUCCUAUUUUCUUUUUGGGCUACUUCUUCUGUCCUGUUGGGGUGUUUUUUUGUUUUUUUUUUAUUGGAUUGCAGGAAUUCUUCACAGGCACUGAAGUCCAAGAUACCUUCAUCCUUGGGGACAUUUGUUGAGCCAGAAUCCUGCAAGGUAAUGUGAGGGAAGUCUGGGAGCCAGGUGUUCAUCUGCCACAGCUGCUGCCCUCAGGUACACAGAGAAGCUCUGCCUGAGCCUCAGAUCCAUACCACUUCUGCUGGCUGCCACUGUCAUGGACCCUGACUAACCACCAAAUGAAUAAGCCAGAAACAUGGCAUUUUCUCCCUUCCAUUAAACCAGUCCCCAUGUCUUCCAAUCUGCCAUUCUCUCCUCAGUCCCUCUGUCACUGGCCUAUGCAGGGAGCAGUACAGCCCCUGCUCUCCCCUGCAGCACUAGGCACAGCACCCCAUAAGGCUGAAGCCCUAUCCCCUCUGGGUCCUGGAACGUGUUAUUCCUAGAGCAUUUUCCCC